CUGCGGUAGCAGGGCUCGCGCUGCCUCCUCGAGUACCGGUGUCGGCUUGAGGCUCUCUGAUUGGCUAUCUCACAGCAUGCCCAGGUGCUGACAAGAGGAUGGAAUCAGCAGCUGGAUCUCACCGCGUUGCAUGACAGAGACACCGAGAACAAGGUGCGCCUGGUUAUCUUUCCAGUUUUAUGCUUACCCAGAUAUUUUUUUGAAAUUGGCAGGAGAAUCAUCAACACAAGGAGAACAACUAUACGUAAAGUCUCACCUCAGCGGGUCUGCGCCCUCUCACUCUAAUCCAAACCUCGUGACUCUUCUACGGUUCCUGCUGCAACCGCUGCGUAGGGAAAACAACCCGAAGGCAAGGCAGUCAAAGUAUCUGAGAGACAUAUCUGGAGGAAGUUUACCCUUGUACACGUAUCUGAACGCAUCCUCCCACGUUGUGUGUCUGGGAGAGCGCUCUGUUUGGAGUCUGUAGCUGGCGGUCAUCCGGCGCCCAUUGAUCUCGUGGUUGUCCCUGCCCCGGCCUCCCGAGUGCCCCCCUGCAGCAGUACCCCGUGGCGUUGGCAAGGCCAGGAGAGAUGGGGCGCAAGCUGGACCUGUCGGGCUUGACGGACAAUGAGGCAGAGCACGUGCUGAAGGUGGUGCAGAGGGACAUGAAGCUGAGGAAGAAGGAGGAGGACAGGCUCAGUGAGAUGAAGCAGGAGCUGGCGGAGGAAGGCAGCAGAUGCUCCGUCCUCUCCAAGCAGCCCCGCUUCAACGAGCGCUGCUGCAUCCGCUGCUGCUCUCCCUUCACCUUCCUGGUCAACCCCAAGCGCCCGUGUCUGGACUGCCAGUACAACGUCUGCAAGUCCUGCCGCACCUACAGCAAGCAGGAGAAAGCUUGGCUCUGCGCCGCCUGCCAGAAGACCAGGAUAUUGAGGACCCAGUCUCUGGAAUGGUACUAUAACAACUUGAAGAGCCGCUUCAAGAGGUUCGGCAGUGCCAAGGUUCUGAAGACGCUCUACAGGAAUCACAUAGUGGAGAGAGGAGGCAACUCUGAUCUACCAGAAAGCAGUGUUCACGACGGAAGCAAUGGCAACGAUGGCAGCGUGUGUGGCAGUGACUCCACCUUCUACAGGCAGAGUGAAGGACACAGCAUGGCAGAGACCCUCACUGUUGCCCUGCGUGUUGCUGAGGAGGCCAUAGAGGAAGCCAUUGCCAAUGCAGAGGAGUUUACUGACAGCUUGGAGAAGCAGAAUGAAGCUUGCUACCUACGGGACCACAAAGAGGAGCUUAUAGAGGAACUUGCCACGACCAUCGUACAAAAAGUACGUUUAGAGUCUGGUGUGGAGUUUUCGGUCACAUCUAACAUUGCCCUCUCUCUCUCGCUCUUGCUCCGCUCCUCUCCUUUCCUCUCCCAGAUCAUCCAGAGGAGGAAGCGUUCAGAGAUGCAGACAGAGUAUGACUUUGUUUGGCCCCAGAGCCAGGGCCAGCCCCAGGGCAGUGAGAUGUCCUCCCCCAGCCAGCCCCCUCACAGCACCCUGGCCCAGGCCAACCAGGCCCACCUCAAGAGUUCCUAUUCCCUCUGGAGGUCGCGAUCUGCGUUCUCCCUGACCAGUGACGAUUCUCCAGAGAAGAACACCGAGGCACUAGUAGGGGCGGGGGGAAGUGGAGAGGUACAGGACUACGCCUCUCUGAAGAAGGAGACCGCCAGGGCCUCCUCACUGCCCAGCUGGAAGAAUGUGGACCGCCUGGACAACUCCAGUGCGUCCUCGGUGCUGCAGAGCCCGGACGGUAACUGGAUCGCUCUGCAGAGCUCUCAGCACUCCCGUCCCAGCCUGCUGACCAAGAGAAAGUCUCUGGUGUUCAGCGUCCUGGAGAAAGAGUCCGACGUGGUCUCGGCCUACGACGAGAUGGGCCCCGAAUCCGACCAGGAGGACGACAAGGGGGGCUGGGGGGCCGCGCUGCGCCAGUUCCAACGGAAACUCUCCGACGAGACGUACUACACGGACUCCCAGCACGACCCUGAGUGGACGUACACCCCGGUCCACCUCCCGGUCACAUCGCCCUCUUCGGGCCAGUACACCAACAUCGAGACCCUCAACUCUGACUCAGAGUGUUCCUCUGUACCCCCCACCCGACCAGGCAAACCCCUCCAGAACGUAAUGACGAAGACAGGCCCUAACCAGGACCCGUAUCUUCAUCCCCAGCAAGCUCAGUACCACCAUCAUCAGCAUCAACACCAGAACCCCCCUUUGUACUCGCUCCACCCGGAGGCGCUGGAUGUGAACUUUAACCCCAAGGUGACUGGGGACAGUGGGCAAAGCAACCACGUCAGGAGGUCGCGGAGACGCAGGAAGAGCAAGAGGGAGCUGGCGGGGAACCAGGCCCACGCACAGACACACACACAACCACUUUAUUCGUCAUCUGCACAGGAGAACAGUUUCCUGCUGAACGCCCUGCUGAAGAGUGGCAUGAGUGAGGAGAUGCCUGGGCCUGACGUGGGGCCCGUGCCCGAGACCUCCUCUGCGGUCAUGACCCCCGAGCCCAAGAACCAGGACACUGUGGCCCCUAACUCUGCGGCCCCCAGCUCCCCUAACUGCAUGGCCCCUGGCCCACUGUCCCCCAGCAGCUCUGGGCCCGGCUCGGGAGACACACUGGAGCAGGAGCUCUACUCCAAACUGGGCCAGCUGGUUGGACGAGCCAGCAGCGAGGAAGUAGCGAGCUCGUCCGAGGAUGAGCCAAUCAAAAGCCCCGUAAAGAGAGACAGAGAAAGCGACAGACAGAAAGAGAAGCUGAGGCAGAUUGAGAGAGAGCGAGAUCCCCAGGCACAAAGUGAGAGACAGAGCAGUAAAAGUAGGGAUAGGACGAAGCGAGAGACGUUUGAGUCAGUGAACGGGCCGGAACUGAAAAAGAGAGAGCGACUAAGGGAAUGUCUGACAUUGAGACAGGAGGAGAGAGUGAAGGAGAGGAGGUUGGAGAGAGGAGGAAAGAGUUUGGAAGAGAAAGUAGAUGGCAGGGAAAAUAAGACAGUGGAGAAGAACAGGCAAAGUAAGAAACUACAGAGAAAAGAGGUGGACAGAGAGACCGAAAGAAAGGGGGAAGAAGUGGAAGACCGAAACGAAAAGACAGGAUCCACGCCCUCCUCGCCUGCAAUUACCCCAUCUAUCCAGGAAGGGGUGCUGUGUGACGGACAGAAGUACUCGGCCGCAUCGCUGUGCAGUAUCACCACAGAGGUACUGAAGGUGCUCAACGCCACAGAGGAACUGAUUGGUGAGGCGGGGGGCGAUAGUGUCACCCCCUCUGAGUGCAUGAGCGCGUCUGAGUCCUUCCUCAGUAACUUAGAGACCAGGAAGCUGGACCAGAAACUCACCAAGAUGGAGGAAAACGUGUACAUGGCUGCGGGGGCGGUGUACGGCCUGGAGGGGUCACUGGGGGACCUGGAGAAGGUGGCCCGAGGCAUCAGCAGUGGCACCUCAGACAGAGACCUGGCCUUCCUGGAGGACCAGGUGGCCACUGCUGCCGCCCAGGUGCAGCAGUCUGAGCUCCAGGUAUCAGACAUCGAGGAGAGGAUACUAUCCCUAAAAACAGCUGGACUGAAUGUCACCGCCUGCAAUCGUUUCUCCAACUUCUCCAAGCCAAGACCUACGCCUCAAACCCUUGACACAUCACGCCAACAGAGGAGAAAACUACCUGCCCCUCCGGUCAAAGGUACAACAUAACUUUGAGCAUGACUGAGGCAGAUGCGGAGCGACUCAAGUUUCGUCAUCGGGUAAGAAGAGGUGUACCCUCUCUGAUAAGGAGUCUGAGCAGCAGGUAACAGCACUUCAUCCGUAGCGACAGACAGAAAGCACAAAGAGUCCCUCAGGGGCCCCGCACGGUCUCUCCACUCCAGUGCCUUGAUCCAGCGUCUGCCUUGGGCUAUGCAGGGGCCAACACCUGCCCUGUGCACCCCACCCAGCGCUCUCCUCAGCCAGGCACGGCCCCAUCCAGUCACCCCCCUGAAUAUCUCCAGACCCCCUUCCCUGCCUCCCCCAGCCCAGGACCGACUCAUUCAACCCCUGUCCCAACCUACUCCAUCAGCCCCCUGGGCCUCAUUCACUGUAAUUACCACACCACAACGCUCACAACAGGGUGGUUUGAUAGACGACGUGUCUCUGCCUUAAAAUCAGCGAACGAACACUCCUCGCCCGAGACAACUCACUGUCCUACUGUCAAAAGAAGACCUAACUUCAAAGUCCUUGUACAGAAAAUAAGAAAACCUCUGUCAGUCUUUUUUUUUCUAACUGUUUGCAAGGGUGUCGUAGGUGUUUGAAGAUGUGAAAAACCAUGUGAAAACUUCUGUGAUGAAUGUCCCAAAAGAGGCUGAACCAUGUUUUAUAUUACUUGUUGUUUCUCUCGCUGAUGAAAUGUCAUGAUGAAUUGCCGAGCACCUACAGAACCUGUUCAAUGUUGUUGCUGUAUUAUCAUUUCUGUGUACAGACUCAAACGUAAUCAUUUCCUUGAACUAGCAUUUACAACAAUCCUCAUUCACGACGCUCUGGUCUGACGUGUUUUGGAAUUUUAGAUGAGAGGUUCACUUUAAGAAACAUCUGGCGUCCUCUCCUGUUCCUUGAAUGAAUCAUUUACAUGAAGGUAACAGGUAAACACACCUCCAUCUUUUCACGGUGGCGAUUCUGAGACGAGCUCGUUACUCUAGCGCGUAGUUACCGUGUUUCGAGAAAGAUUCACGACAUUGCUCGGCCCACACAAUGACAGUUUAUGUCAUGUCUGUUUUGUAAGGCCAAAAUAACCUCCAUCGACAGGCUGCGAGACUUUGGCAUCUGUCUCCGGGGAGACCCAAGGCCAAAAUAAUGCAAGGCACAAUAUUUAGUUACAUGAACAAAUAAUGAAACGUUUAUCACACAAAUGGUCUACCUAUGAUAUAAAGUAUAUGUAAAGCAUUUAGGAACCGAAAGAAGCCCGACAUUAGAAUAAAUGGACACGUUUCUUAACCAAACAAAAACAUCUCUGUACGACAUCUUCACCGUUCUGUUUUUUUUUUCAUGAAUAUGUUUCAUCCUAUAGCUAGAGGACUCCUGAUAUCUCCAGGAGUAAUACAUCAAAUGUGUGUCUUUAUCUGUUGUCUAGUACUGUCUUUUUGCUAUGGCUAGGGCCGUCUACUUGAUAUCUGUCUUCCCAGUAGCAUACUUGGGUGUGUGAACUGUUAACUGCUCAUAACUUGCAGAUGAUGGUUGACACAUUAACUAGGUUUAAAGGACAGGGCGAUUUGCGCGUGAACUAAUACUCACACCCGGAUUUAUUUUCCUACUAGCACUGACAUUGCUGAUAGCUACUUUAUUGAGGAAAAAUACAUGUACUAUGACUGAGGUAUUUGGCUGUUGCAACUAGCUAUCUGAAGAUCAAUGCACUUAACUGUAGGUCUCUGGAUAAGAGCGUCUGCUAGAUGACAACAACUUCAAAUGUAAUUUUUUGCUUGUUCUUUUUAUGUUUAAUUGGUUUCAGCUUUGUGGCCUUUACUUGGCGUACAUUUUGAUUUCUCUCCUGUGCUCUAUGGCUCCAAUAAUUAAUUGUGCGUUGUGUUAAAUAUCUUGUAAAGAUUUAUACAUAAUGAAGUCUACUGGGCUUUAUGACAAAAUGCCAUGAAAAGCAUGAUUUUAUUUUUGUACUUUUGAAGAUUGUUAUUACGCAGUUCUUUUCACUAAAACAAAGUGGGCGGAAACCGGCCUAGGCUUUAUUCUCCUCCUCCGAAAGGUUUUCUCAUCAGUUAAGUCUGAAACCGUGUCAUGUUUCCUUCUUCAAAGUGCUUUACAUGUAUGCCUGCAUUAAUUGUCGGAAAAUGUGUGAUUUUAAUGGGGAUGAUGGUAUUCAUAUUCAUGAUAACGUGGGAGAUGUGAUAAAUAACAGUUGAUGCAGUGUCUGGUAUUACUCCAAUGACCAAGGGGAGAGUCUGGAAUGCCAGGCCUGUUUUUUUUCAGAGUAGGAGUGCUGAUCUAGGAUCAGGCUUUCCCUGUCCAUGUAACCAUAUUCAUUGUGAUCUACAACACAAAAUGGAUCCUAGAUCAGCACUUCUACUCUUGAGAUACUCUGAGAGGCCCUGGUCUUUAUAUUGAAAAGAUCAGAUAGUAUAUUAAUAUAGAGGAGAGGAAAUACAGUGUUGAGGAAUUCUGUUCCUUAGUAAUUACAGGUAAAAUAGUAUGACGUUUGCGCUGGUUCAGGUUGUUACGUGCAGCCUGACCUUUCUUCAAGCCGCACCUAUCAGGUGGGGUCCUGUUGUGGCUCAGUUGGUAGAGCAUGACACUUGCAAUGCUAGGGUUGUGGGUUCAAUUCCCACGGGGGACCAGUAUGAAGUUGCUCUGGAUAAGAGCGUCUACUAAAGGACAAUAAGAAUAAUAUGUAACGCCCUGUACCGGAGCUAGUGACACAGGUUAUUCCCAUACCUAUGGACUUCUGUUAUAUUUAUAUUAUAUUUGAACACUGUCCACUGGUGAGUCCUUCCAUCCAUCCUAUGAUCCCAUUUUGCAGGUUGUGCAUAUCGUUUCCUGUAUGUCGUCGUUGUUCCUGGAUGUGUGUUGUGUAUCAACGCAUGUUUCUGGUUUGAAAUAGAUGUACAAAAUUCGAGAAGCACAGCCAAGGGGUUCAUUAUUAUCAAUGUCCUGUAUUUUUCUAUUGUAAAAAAAAAGAUAUUUUAUCUCACCUCCUAAUUUGUUUAUAUAUAUAUAUAUAUAAAAAUAUAUAUAUCCAUAUAUAUGUAAAAAAAAAAUGGAUAUGACAUAAGAUAAUUGCCCAAUCAUAAACUUGAUCCUUCUGUGUUGUCUGCGGGAGGCAGCCAGCUGUCUAUGUUCCUCGGCCGCAGUGAAGUUCACUUUGCACACCUCUGAUGAAUUAUUCACUCAUAUGCGCAAUCGUUUGUUGCAGUUCAUAUCAUGUGUCGGGGAAAAAAUAUUAAGAAGCAGAAAAUACAGAUUCUCUAUGUGCCAAAUUGCUCUGAUUGAGAAAAAGUGUAAUACUGAUUGAAUAAAGUUUGCACCU